UUCUGAUCACGUGAUCACUGCCUACGCGCGGUGGGGACGGGUGCAGAUGGCGGACGCAGAGGCCGAGGCGUCUCCGCGCCCCGAUAUGGAGCGGCUAGUGGUUGCGCUUCGCGCCCGUCUCUGGCAGUUGCAGGCGGAGCUGCGCGAACAGGAGGUUUCGGAGUCUUCGUCUCGGACCUACUGCCGGGGGUUCUGCCAGACAUUAUUACAGUAUGCUGGAAACCGGGGUGCAUCUGAACAUAUUUUGCCUUUUUUGGAAGUGUAUCGAAUCUCCAUCCAAAGCUUUGCUAAUGCACGACCAUACUUGACUACGGAAUGUGAAGAUGUCCUUUUGGUACUUGGCAGGCUAGUACUCUUCUCCUGUGUUAAAACUGUGCUUGAUGGAUGGCUGUGGGCUUACUGCAGAGGAAGCAGGUGUUCUUCUCGAAACACAAAUGCCAUGGGACCUAGUACAAAGCAAGUUUCUCCCCCUACUGGCACUUGUCCUGGCAUUUUCAGCAUUUUCCUGAUGCUCAAUGUACUUUGUCUUCAACCAUGCCAAAUUUAGUCUGAGAGCACUUACAGCUUGUAAGGUGCCACUGAGUGUUGUGUUUAACCAGGUCCUCCAUGGUGUAAAAGAUUCAGUGGCUAAUUAUCUUCUCAUUGAUGCUUAAAAAUGAUGAAGACCAAAGUAAAUGCAAGAAUUAAAAAAAAAAAAAUUACUUUGGGAUUGUAAUUAAUUGUUAUGUAAUUGUGUCAUGUAACUGUGCAUACCAUUUGUGGAUGGAUUCCAGCAAUUUCUGGCUGCAUGCUGAUGUCUUAACCAGUGCCUCAUUACAACUCUUUGGCGUAAUAAACAAAGCUGAUGAGUACCACUGAACCGCUUCUUUUUUUGCUGAUGAGGACAAAUCAGCUUGAAGCACUCUUUCAGUGGGCUGUAGUCCAUGAAAGCUUAUGCUCUAAUAAAUUUGUUAGUCUCUAAGGUGCCACAAGUACUCCUGUUCUUCUUUCCACUUGUAGUAACCUGUAACAUUAAAAAAAAAAAGUAAUUAGGUACGAUGCAAUAGGCAGCACUUUUAGUCCUGAGCACAGAAAGACUAAAUAGACUUCAAGCCCUUAUUUUACAGGAGGCCUUGGCAGCUAGACCUAUUAAAUCUGAGGAUUAAGUGAUGCAACAUAAGUAGGUUUGAAAGGAUUAAUUGUAGUCAGUAAAUGUCUGUAAACGUUGAUUUCACUGUACACUCAAACCAUGAAAAAUAUUUCCAACGAUAACCAAAAUGUACAGAUAGGCAAAAUUCUGCUUCAAAACUUAUUAAAGUUUGGUUUGUACAUUUUCACAUAUGGUGUUGACAGUUUGUUUCAAUGCUUAUAAAGCUUUAACUUUUUGAAGCUGUGCCUACUGUCAUUAAAUAAUAGUCUGACAAUCCAUAAUUUCCUGCAACUGAAAGUUUAAAUAGAUAAAAAUCUAAAAAUAUGCUUAGAAAUAAGAUAAAGCUUCCCAUCUCUCUCUUAUAAGAGAGCUCCUCAGAUUCCUUUUUUCCACCACUGAAGACACCAUUAGGUUCUCCCAUCUCCUCGUUUUGUUCUUCAGAUGCUGUCAUUGGUCACUUCUUCUCCAAUAAUUUCUUUAUCUGAUCCAAGGUUGGAUUGGGUCAGAGCUACGGAGGUCUAUUAGCUGCUUUAAUCAAGACUUUUGUGCCUCAGAAGGCAGUCUAAAGUUAUCUCACCCCACAGGCAAUGACAGUGUCAGAGUUUGGUAGCUGGCAGGAUUGGCAUAUGCCACAUUUGGUGGCUUGGUCAUAUUGGCCUUCACCUAGUCAUCCUUUUCAUGGAGAGCAUUUUUCUAUCCUAGUGCCUGAUACGCUACUAGAGGAGGAAGAAGAGCCUGUGACUCAAACUGAUUAUGUACAACAGAUCAAGAAAUAGAAGGGAAAUGUUCCACUGAUGAAAGUGUUGGUGUGGCAAGAUUGUUGAGUCUUUUACAGCCUUAUAAAAGAGAGACUCCUGGUCCCAUGUUCAGGUUACACAAAUAAUUUUAUUUGCUGUCUUCUUCAUCUUUUGUUACGGCUAGAGAAGAAAAUAUUCACAGCAACAAGUCAUCAGAGGGAUAAAUACCAGGGAGGGAGAGGAAUGAUUUAAGCUCAAUACCAAUGUGGACACAAGAACAUAUGGAUAUAAACUGGCCAUCAGGAAGUUUAGACUUGAAAUUAGACCAAGGUUUCUAACCAUUAGAGGAGUGAAGUUCUGGAACAGCCUUCCAAGGGGAGCAAUGGGGGCAAAAAACAUAGAUAUGUUUUUCAUGGCUUCAACACUAAGCUUGAUAAGUUUAUGGAGGGGAUGGUAUGAUGGGAUAGCCUAAUUUUAGCAAUUGAUUUUGGACUAUUAGCGGUAAAUAUGCCCAAUGGCCUGUGAUGGGAUGUUAGAUGGG